rnacentral:rRNA from 1 species
AGAGUUUGAUCCUGGCUCAGAUUGAACGCUGGCGGCAUGCCUUACACAUGCAAGUCGAACGGUAACGCGGGGCAACCUGGCGACGAGUAGCGAACGGGUGAGUAAUGCAUCGGAACGUGCCCAGUAGUGGGGGAUAGCCCGGCGAAAGCCGGAUUAAUACCGCAUACGACCUACGGGUGAAAGGGGGGGAUCGCAAGACCUCUCGCUAUUGGAGCGGCCGAUGUCAGAUUAGGUAGUUGGUUGGGUAAUGGCCUACCAAGGCGACGAUGGUUAGCUGGUCUGAGAGGAUGAUCAGCCACACUGGAACUGAGACACGGUCCAGACUCCUACGGGAGGCAGCAGUGGGGAAUUUUGCGCAAUGGGGGAAACCCUGACGCAGCAACGCCGCGUGGGUGAUGAAGGCCUUCGGGUCGUAAAGCCCUGUCGGGAGGGAAGAAAUGAUUGAGAGCUAAUACCUCUUGGUCUUGACGGUACCUCCGAAGGAAGCACCGGCUAACUCCGUGCCAGCAGCCGCGGUAAUACGGAGGGUGCAAGCGUUGUUCGGAAUUAUUGGGCGUAAAGCGCGUGUAGGCGGUCUUUUAAGUCUGAUGUGAAAGCCCCGGGCUCAACCUGGGAAGUGCAUUGGAAACUGGGAGACUUGAGUACGGGAGAGGAGAGUGGAAUUCCUAGUGUAGGAGUGAAAUCCGUAGAUAUUAGGAGGAACACCGGUGGCGAAGGCGGCUCUCUGGACCGAUACUGACGCUGAGACGCGAAAGCGUGGGUAGCAAACAGGAUUAGAUACCCUGGUAGUCCACGCCGUAAACGA